CAGAACGAACGCUGGCGGCAGGCCUCAAACAUGCAAGUCUAGGGGGUGUAGCAAUACAUCACCGGCGGACGGGUGCGUAACGCGUGGGAAUAUACCUAUCGAUUCGGAACAACUGAGGGAAACUUCAGCUAAUACCGAAUACGUCCUAACGGAGAAAGAUUUAUCGUCGAUAGAUUAGCCCGCGUUCGAUUAGCUAGUUGGUGGGGUAACGGCCCACCAAGGCGACGAUCGAUAGCUGUUCUGAGAGGAAGAUCAGCCACACUGGGACUGAGACACGGCCCAGACUCCUACGGGAGGCAGCAGUUGGGAAUCUUGGACAAUGGGGGAAACCCUGAUCCAGCCAUGCCGCGUGAGUGAUGAAGGCCUUCGGGUUGUAAAACUCUUUCGCGCACGACGAUAAUGACGGUAGUGCGAGAAGAAGCUCCGGCUAACUUCGUG
rnacentral:rRNA from 1 species